GCAGCUUUUCCUGGAUGACACCAAAGUCAAGAACUUCAUCACCUGCUUCAAAGGCCGACGUGGAGGCGGCUCCGGAGGCCACCAGACGGCUCUACAAGGAAUACAGGAUGCUCAAGCAGCGGAGCGAGGAGCCGGAUCCUUCCCACCUCAGCCCCCCGGCCCAGGAGACCCCAACCCCUGAGCAGGUGCCGGACUCCGGUUGUUGGGGCGCACACCUGAACCGGCAGCCGAAAAACCCC